rnacentral:lncRNA from 1 species
UUUUGUUUAUGCCAUAACUGCUCUCUGCUUGAUGAGUUUGGAGCACAGUAAUGUUUCACCAGUUUCAAAAUCUUAAAGAAAUAUGGUUUAGUUUGGCAUAAAUUAUGUGUUAGCGACUACCAUCAAAUGGGGAUAUAAGUGCAGAACUAUCUACUCAAGAAUAAGGGAAGAGUUUCGUACAAAAAAUGAAUAGGAGAAGAAGAAGAAGAAGAAGUGAAAGAUAAAGCUAUCAUGAAGAGAAAAUAUCUUUUGGAACCUGUUCUUGCCAUCCUCCCCUUCCCGGAACUUCAGGAACUCCAGGAACUUCUUAGGUUGCAUCGAAGGUGGAAGAAGCAACAGCAUAAUAUGAUCGAGGUAACCUAAGAAGUUCCUGGUGUGCUAUUAUGAUCGAGGUAAUCAUCAACUCCAGGAACUCGAAAAGGAACCCAAUGAAAUGAAUCGAAUGGAGAAUAGCACACCAGUUCGCAUGCCACUCUUACCCUGAUUAACUCGAUCAUAAGCGCUGUGCAAAGAUCGACUUGCCCCUGCACAAACAUCAAAUUAGGAUAGUUAACAGAAAGCACCCCUGGAGAUAUUCUAUAGGUUGAUAGGCUCCACCAAGAACUUCAAAUAUACUUGCGCACCGACAAGAGGCAGGAACAUACCCCUACUGCACAUUAUUCUUCGUUAGAAAUUCCGAUGAGGCGAUGCACGAACCACCAGAGGUGACAUAAAAACAUGCCACCUUUUGACCUGAUGCGCAGUAGUACCACACUGAAUUGAUCAAUGAUCAUCACAGUUAGAUAAAUCCCAACUGGAGCAGUCUCUUGUGAACAACCUCUUGAUUGUGUGCUACAAGUCUACAAGUGUCCUGAUGCUAAAACAGAGUUCAAAACUGAGCAGAGUAAGUGCUGCUUCAUGGUUAGUUAACAUAAUUGACGGCGCAAUGUUUCCAUUACCACCCCCGAGUAACAAGUGAACUUACUAUAUGAAAAUUACCGUAGAAGAAUUGUUCUAUAGUUCCGGGCUUAAAAAAAAGCAUUUUUCUGCUACUAUGUUAAGCUCUAGAGCAGAGCUGCAUGACAUUGUUCUAAUGUUAAGUUUCAACGUAGCAUCAAUAUUUCAACAAAAAGAUUUUGGUCGGGUCUCACCAAAAAAAUACUAUAUAGCAUGCUGUGCUAGCAGUUUAUAGACGUUCCUUCCAAAAUUAGGGUUGAUGGAUACAGUAGGACUAGCCGGACAACUAUUGCUCCAUCGCACGAAGAGCUGCCUUUCUGCAUGCCAUGUGACUUGUGUUCUGUGAUGUGUAUUAAUACCCUGAACUUUUGCGCCUUCUUCCUUUUGUGAAAAUGAUGUGUAGAAAGAAGAAGCCCUCAUUUCUGGACAUGCAACCUGAUGGCUCAGUGUUUGGAGGCGAUUGCUGGGGAGGCUCAGUGGAUGUAUCUCGGCAGGUAAGUAGCCAGGUAGGCACGUACAACUUCGUGUGGAUGCCAAGGACCGAGGCCUGAUGACUGAAAGUGAAACAUUCAUCAUAUAAUGUGAUGGCAUUUCGCAUCGGCUUCUGUUGUGGGACGAUAUUUGAUGUCCAUUUCCAUUCGUUUAUCGAUUUUGGCGGUGCCAUCAGAAGUGGCCAGAUUGUCUGGGGCCUGUUUGGAACAUAAUAAUUUCACAGGAGACACAAAAAGCCCUCCAAAAUCCGCACGCAAAUCAUUCAUUCCCUAUAAGAGGUCUAAGGCUACCAGAUCAAUGAUUUCGCAAUUUGGAUGGACAAAGGAAACUGUGGUACAGUUACCUUACAAUUAUUUGUUGUUGAUGUUUGAAAAGACUUUUGUUAUCGAUAUGACUUCUAUUAAGAACCUAAUGUGCGAGCAUGUCCUAAAUGGAUUCGAAAGUGAAAAGUGGACACAAAUCUAAAGUUUCCUAGUCUCCUAGAUAGUGUAGAAUCUACUGAAUAAUGAACAGGCUGCAGACUCCUCGUGAAUAAGUGUCCUGAAGUUGUCCCACCAUUUCUCGGUCUGAAUCUGGAAAGAGCCCUUUUUCCUGCCAAGCCAGUACUUAUCAUGCCAGGUGAUCAUCUCAGGUCUCCCAUGCCAUGAUAAAGUACCCCUUUUGUCUUUGAAUUUUCCUUGGCCUAAUUAUUCCAGUUACUUGGGUGCCACAGGAAAUCAUAAUGAUAUACUUCUAAUUAUCAUGUAUGUACCCCCUCGCAUCGCCACAGGAACUCCCUCUCUUGAUGCACCGUACGUAUACAUGGCAAGGCUGCGUGCCGAUCCAGUCAGCGAUGAGAUCGGAGUGCAGGGAGUUCUAAUGAAAACCGUGCCGACUUAGGUCAUGGAGGACGACGACGACGUCUCCGAUGUCGUUUCCUUGUUAAGACAUCGUCGUUGCAGGUUGCGUCACCACACUCGGGAUGUUUCGGGGGAAACCUUAGAUCUGGGUCUCCCGAAUCAGAUGAUGACGACAUCUAUCUUCGAUACAAUGCUCCCUCCUGGGGGCAUCAUUUUGGAGCAGGUGUUGGCUAAAGGGAACAAUAGGUGGAGCAGUGUUGCAUCUUCAACAUUAACGACAGGCGGUCUCGGUGACAUAGCGCAAUUGGGUCUCGAUGCUGGACGCGUGUUGAUGGGCGCGCGCAAGAGGGUGGCACUGUCUGGCGCCAUGGUGGUGUCGACAGCAGAAGGGUUUGGCAAGGUCAGUGCAUGGGUCACUCCUGAAGAUGGAACGGCGGAAGAUGGCAGCGACAGAGUAUAAAGCGUGCGCAUGUGGUGCGUGUUGUGGGUCUGCUAGACCGGUUGGUGCUCCUGGCUAGCCGGCGGGUGGCUUGGUUUGCCCACCGAAUUACUUGAUCUGCGUUGGCGCGAGGUCAAGGCACAUCAUCAAGCUUGGGUGCCAUGGGCAUUAAGUGACAUAGGAGUAGUCGCCCACUGGGUAAAAAAAAUGCUUAUGAUCUCACAAUGCUUCUUUUAGGGUAUGAUCUCACGAUGUAAUUGUCACUCUUAUGAUACUUUGGUAAACAGAUUCAAAUGAUUUAAUUGACUACAAUGGUUGGUCAUCUUUUGGUUUUUUAUUUACCAGAAAUUAUAAGUUUAUUUGCAGUAUGUACGUAGAAUCCAAGCAUCAGCCUCCUUGUAAGCACAACAAUGUAGAUGAAAGACAGAAAAACUCUGAUGAAUGUUUUCUUUCCUAUGUAAUAAUCCGAUACACCAUGAACGUGAGAAACAAACGUUUCUUAAAGACACUGACUAAAACAGUGGAGGUUUGAUAGCAAGGCCAUGAACAAAACAACAGCGAGUUGUUUUAUAGCACACACCUUAACUAAUUAUCUUUUCAGAGAGCAGGGAAGCUUGCCAAAUCUGUGUUGAUUACCCCAGCAUCUUCAGCUCAUGAAUACGUAACCAGUCGUCUCAACUUGCAGCGAAGUCACAGACCACGAGUCUAAUACAUUUGGCACUUUGUGACCUGGUAAAUUGCGAAAUAAUCCAUCACUGCCUUGAGUAUUUAAUAACAUAUACAGCAGGAUGAUCGAUGGUUCAGUUCAGAUUAAAAUUAUUUACUUACCCUCUGCAUAAUGGUUGAUUGUCUUGUUCUAUAAGCAGGGAAACUUGGGGUUCAAGUUCCAGGCUUCCAACCCAUCGGUGGUUUCUUGGCAUACAGGGAAACUUGUGUUCCAAGUUCUAGGCUUCCAACCAAUCGGUGGUUUUCUGAAUUUAGUAUCUCAUUGGCAUGCUGCAAACUGAUGUAGUGUCAUAUGUCAACAGAUUUUAAUUAAAAAAAAUGUCUGGAUGGAAGUUUCAGGGACACUUCCCUGAAACCUCCAAACUCAGUAUUAAUUUAUCCAUGUGGUAUACCAUCAGAAUGGGACUUCUCAGCUAUAUAACAUCAUUGAACGCUGGAGCGCCUCCUAUUUCUGUGCAUCCAUUUGUUCAAGACAUACGAGCUUGUUAAGUUCUAGCUUUACUUGUUGUAGA